GCUUGAUGACUUUUCAUAAACGGAGCACAACUAUAGGACCAGUACACAUUUAAAAUACCAUGUUACCAGCACCACAGAAGCUAUUUUCUCUCUUUUCCAGAGACUACCUUCUUGUCCCUGCCAAGGAUAGCCACAACCCUGACUUCUAUAGUAGAGAUUUAGUUUGAUUGGCUUCUUUUGUUCAACAGACUUUACCAACAACAUUGAACAGAGUGGUCUAAACCAUGAAUAUCAUAUGUAUUGGGGAAUCAGAAGUAUCAGCCGGUUUGGAGUAUUGGGAGGACACUGGAAGAGCGGAAUUUAAGGUUCAUCUGUUUGAAUUGGAACUUGAGCUCGUCUCAAGAAGUCUGCUUACCACUAUAGGGAAAAGCAAACAAUGAUUGUAUUCUCUGAGAAGCCUCUGGCAGAACACGAAUUUGGAAAAAACAAGCACAUUAGUUUCAGUUUCUGUUGGUCAAGAUGAAAACAGCGGACAAUGAUGAAAUUUAUUAUUGGUGUUCCACCCAUCUCCUACCCACACUUCAAGGUCCACUUCAGGCCCCAGCCCCCAACAAAGCUGUUCAGGACCAGUGACUCUACAAUCUGAGACAAUGUGUACUUGUUGGAAGGACCUUCACAGCAUAUAGUCUAUGAAUCCAUGGGUAAGAGACUUCAUCACAGCCAUGGAAGAAUUAAUGAUGCUUAAUAACUCUUUGUGGACUCAACUGAAUAAAUGACUGACCUUAUAGCAGUUCUGCCAUCAUCUCCAUUCUUUUCCACUUUGGCUCACAAGACCCUACAGGAAUCUGAGGCCACUGACAACACCAACCUCACAUGUUCUCUGUGGGAUCUCAAGACUGCAGAUUUAACCACCUGGUCCUGAACUCAACAACAACCUGCCUACCAAUUACUUUAGUGAUUCAAACAGAAGCUCUUAGCUGCUUGUAUAUUAUGUAUGAUUUUUCUACCACUGCAUCUAGCUGUAACAAAUCCUACAUUUUUAUUCUUUCUAAAUCAAAUUGAUUCUGACUUCGUGCCUACACUAGUCAUGGAACUUCUUUCUCCCAAAGAAAUUCAAACUCUAAUAUUUUUGGAAACAGGUGGCUUAUCUCAACAGGCAAAACCCUCUCUGGGAAUGUGAUUCUUCCUGGCAAAGCAGGCAUGAACAGAGACGAAGAAUGCCAAUACCCUCUUGACCAUCAAGAUAUGCCAAAACCACUUUAGAGAAUAUUGGAAUAAAGUGCCUGAGAACAGAUCACCCAAGAAAAAGUGGGUAUAAUCCUAAAAUGUUCAUUUACCACACCAAAUAGCUGCCAUUUCCCUUUGUUUAUGCCAUAAGCAACUAGAAUUAGAGGUUGAAUUUUGCAGUGAAGCCGCUGCAUAACUACGAAGUCUAGAUACAGCUCAGCCUGGAUGCUUUCAGAUUCCAGCUUUCAGAGGCAGGAGAUGCAGACGGCCUCCACUUCCAGAAUCCAUUAAAAGAGAGUUGCAGGCACUCAUGGUUUCACCCUAACAGCAAAGAAACCUCCAUCUCAGAAGCAUUAAUCCUUCUCCAAGGUGAACCUAGGAAGGUGACAGAAGUGUAGCUAUUAUUAUCGCAAUUUGUUUCCUACAAACAGCAGCCUCCAGGUGGAGAAAUGUGAGUAGUUAACUUGCUUUGUUCUUCUAGAUUAUUUCUUCCCACUGAGUCCCCAGGGAGCCACCUCAGACAGGGCAGAGCAGCCCUUUCCUGUCCUAUCAUGUGGAGAACAGCCCAGGAUCUAUUGGUUGCUGCAGAACCUAGUCUCUCCCCUGUAGACAAUUAGACAUUUUGAGAGCAGAGCAUGUCAAUCCUGAAUCAAAAGACACAGAGAAACCCAAUUAUCCUACAAAGAAAACAGAAAAUAAAAGUCAUCACCCCCAUCCUCUUCACAGGUUGACAGAGGAACAACUUCUAAUUCAUUCUGAUGACACUUUUGAGGCUUCCAAAAAAUCAUAUUUUCCUCAGGCUUCUUCUAUAAGGCCUGCUUUUUUUGGUCUCACUUCUAACUGAGGAAAAAAAGGUAAGACAUAUUAAAAGGAAAAAAGUUUGCUCCCUUGUAAUUAAAUCUAUUCAAGAAGAAUUUUUCAUAUUUCAAGAAAAGAAUGUUAAAUAUGUGCUAGGGGCCUGGACUUUAUUUCCCUAUCUUGUAACAAGGUGUGUGAAAAAAUAUUGAUUUGCUCCUGAGAGAUGCUGGAGGAACUUAAUGAAAGUUGUUAAAUACUUUGGAAUCCUUUGAUGGAAGAGAACAUAUAAAAGUGUAAUGUGCUUUUGUUUCAUGUGAAGUUUUUAGAAACCAGAAGGAAACCCUGUCACACCCCACCCUAUUGCAAACAAUGUGCUCACAAAGAUAUCUUUUCAAUAUCCGUGUAUAUUUGAUUGUGAUAAAUAUAGUGUCUGACCUUUAACAGACAUAAAAGUGAAAACACAAAGAAACUGGACACUCCUUGAUGGCUCUCGCCUAUUUUCACAGAGCCUCUCAGCAUAUUGAUUGGCUAGAAAACACUGCUGAGAGCUAGUAUAUGACUCUUAACAAACACAUUCCAUUGCAGGAGGAGUGUGUGGGCUUCUGAGACCCUACACAAGAUAAGUUACAUGGAACAAAGGCUGAAAUAGUCAAUAAACCUGACCUUGUGACAGGAGGCCAUCAGGAAGCUCUGCGUGACUUUUGUCCAGGAAUAGCCAAUUCCCCCUCUUGGUUCUCUAUACAGUGGAGAACAUAUAUAUCCCCCUGAUUAAAGGCUCUGAAAGGAUAGUCUUAGCUGAUGCCUCCAAGAGAAAGUUGUUCUUCUGUCAACAAAGUCACCACCAUGAAAUUCAACUGGAGAAGCUUUGGCUUUUCUUCAUCAUUCUGUCAAGAACUUAG
rnacentral:lncRNA from 10 species